rnacentral:rRNA from 1 species
CCUACGGGAGGCAGCAGUGGGGAAUAUUGCACAAUGGGCGCAAGCCUGAUGCAGCCAUGCCGCGUGUAUGAAGAAGGCCUUCGGGUUGUAAAGCACUUUUGUCCGGAAAGAAAUGGCUCUGGUUAAUACCUGGGGUCGAUGACGGUACCGGAAGAAUAAGGACCGGCUAACUACGUGCCAGCAGCCGCGGU